ensembl:lncRNA
GCAGGGUGUGUGUGUGAGUGAGAGAGAGUGAGACAGAUGCAGGGCGUGUGUGAGUGAGAGAGAGCGAGACAGAUGCAGGGUGUGUGUGAGUGAGAGAGAGAGUGAGACAGAUGCAGGGUGUGUGAGUGAGUGAGUGAGAGAGUGAGACAGAUGCAGGGUGUGUGUGUGAGUGAGAGAGUGAGACAGAUGCAGGGCGUGUGUAUGUGAGUGAGUGAGAGAGUGAGACAGAUGCAGGGUGUGUGUGUGUGAGAGAGAGAGUGAGACAGAUGCAGGGCGUGUGUGAGUGAGAGAGAGAGUGAGACAGAUGCAGGGCGUGUGUGUGUGAGUGAGAGAGAGAGAGUGAGACAGAUGCAGGGCGUGUGUGAGUGAGUUAGAGAGAGAGAGAGACAGAUGCAGGGCGUGUGUGUGAGUGAGAGAGCGAGUGAGACAGAUGCAGGGUGUGUGUGAGUGAGUUAGAGAGAGAGAGAGACAGAUGCAGGAGGCGUGUGUGAGAGAGUGAGACAGAUGCAGGGUGUGUGUGUGUGAGUUAGAGAGAGAGAGAGAGAGACAGACAGAAAUAAAUCAAUUCCCUAAAGUAGCACGACAGGCUUAAAGUGUGUGUUUGUAGAAGACCUCCUCCCUGUUCUGGUGUUGCAGUCCACCUUACAGGUGGUGUUCUGUAUGUGUGUGCGCACAUUUUCACUCCACACUGAUCCUCUCGUGACCUGCACCAGGCCAUUUGCAGCACUCCUGCCCCUCCGUCCUCCUCAGCCUCUCAUUAUUUUUCUCAUCAGAACUGUCUCCACGGCGACACAAAGCCCUCCGUCCUCAGGUGGUGAUAAGAGGUCAGGGAGUCUCACCCUGACUGACCUCUCAGAUGUGUCGCAGCCAGAGGACUCCAAAUAGCUGAUUUUUGGCCAUCUGGAGCUGCACACUCAGGCCAGGCACGUGGGAGCCUUAAAUGACUGUACAAGACAAGACAUUUACUCAGGAGAUCUCUGGCGUGUGUUUAAAAUAUUUUUGGUUAAAGGAAAGAAGAAGAAAAAAAGACCAUAUUUGAGCACAAAUCCAUAUUCCAGCUCUGUUAAUUCAGACGUCUUUUCUCUCAACUACUCGACAUUCCUUCAAGCCUAUAAGCAAAAACAUUAUCCGCGCUCUAAAGAUGAAAAUAACUAUUCUUUCAUUAGCGAUGAAAACAAGUAGGCUAAUAACCUUUGGGAGGGCGGGUGAAGUGUUUUUUUUUUUUUUU